GCUUCUAGCCAUAUCACCCUGCAGCUCUCAACUGGCAGCCCACUGAAGCUCAGCAGGGUUGAGCCUGGUCAGUACCUGGAUGCGAGACCUCCUGGGAAACCAUGGUUGCUGCUGGAA
rnacentral:rRNA from 1 species